CAAAGUCCCCCCGCUAACACUAGAAAGAAAGCGCGGAAGGAGUGAUUUGGGCGAAGCCCAUGGGGGUGCAGGGACAACGUCCCCCCAAAUGCAGGCGAAGCACAGGAGCGAAGCGAGGGUGCGAGUAGUUCAAGCGAAGCGCAGAAUACGAAAAAAAGACAGCAGCAGGAGGUAAUUAGGCGAAGCCCAAGGGGGGUGCAGGGGGGACAAAGUCCCCCCGCUAACACAAGAAAGAAAUUGUGGAAGGAGUGAUUUGGGCGAAGCCCAAUAGGGGUGUAGAGGGGACAACGUCCCCCCAAAUGCAAGCGAAGCACAGGAGCGAAGCGAGGGUGCGAGUAGUUCAAGAGCCCUCAAUGUUUCUAGCACAAAAAUUUGGCUCUUACGUAGCGGCAGACUGCUACGACUUUUUGUUUUACAUCCAGAUUAAUCUGAAAAUUGAAAUAAUGAAAAAAUGCAAAAAUAUGCACAUUCGUGAUAAUGAUAAGGUUUUGUUUCACUGCAACGCAAAGGAACGUAAAUAACUAUUUUACGCAGGUAUGUAAUACGUUCACAGUAUCACAGUUCACACAAAGCAAGCAAGAAUCGUUUUUCAAGACCAUGUUUAUCUCAGUUUAGCUGGAGAAUGCGAUUAGAUUGAAACGCAAGAGCUUGCAAAACCAGUAGGACUGGACUUCAACUCGUAUUCGCACAGAUAGUCCGUUUUAACGUGGAUGUUUAUGCCCAAUAUCUUUUUAUUUCACUCUCGCGAAUCUGCCUUUUCACUUCACAACAGUAAACCUACCUUUCACCCUUCAAUCUUCAUCCCUUAGGCUCCGUUCUAUACCUUCCCCUACCCUCCCUGCACUUGUCCCAUUCGUUUCACUAGCACAUUCUCAACCGUGAUCUUGCCUUUCUUUUUACUGGUUUUCAUUCAUUCUAGUUAAAUUCCUACUGGCGAGUCGCAAGUCUUUUGUCUGGUGCUCCUUCAAGAAUUUGAUAUCCUUCGUUGCAAUAUUGAAAUUCGAGAAGUAUCAUUUUCAUUACACCUACUCUGCUACAUAAAUGAGCCAGUCAAGCGCCUCCGUUAUAUUACCUACACAUGAGGGGAAAAAAACUUCAAUUCCGGAUUGGCAUUGUAUCACUAACGGCGAAUGGCGAAAAACGUCACAAUUGUGGACAAUCAAAGGCUUUAAAGAAUAUCACUGUAAAGUUAACAAACCGCUCAGAUCGUCAGAAUUCGUUAACCCUAAAAAUCCCGAAUAUAAAUGGUACUUGACUAUUGUGACUGACAACUCAAAUUUUGAGGUUGCAGAUUCUAUCGGAUUAUUUUUGAAUCUUGACAGAGACAAUACCUAUGACCAUGAUAUAUUCGUCAACAUGAGAAUGUGUAUACGAAAUGCUGCAGGAUAUGAAGUAUUUGUUCAACAAACCCAAGCGCAAUUCACAUUAAGCAAUAAUCAACAUGGAUUUCCGUAUUUUGUUUCGAAGGUGGUAUUAUUCCAUCCAUUUCCGAAGCACAAACUCCUCCUUGUUGAAGACACAGUAACAGUUUUCUGUGAAUUUGAGUAUACUGAAACGGGUGCCAAAGAUAAUCACUCACGGCAGGGGCCUGAAGUGAAAGUGACAGUUCCUGAUAAUCUAUCAACAGGAUUAGAACGUUUGUUGCGUGAUCAAACUUUUGUCGAUGUAACAUUUGUAGUGGAUGGCAAGAAAUUCGGUGCUCUCAAAGGUAUUUUAGCAGCUCGUAGUCCUGUUUUUGAGGCCAUGUUCAAACACAAUAUGCAAGAAAAUAAAUCAAACCAAGUUAACAUCUCAGACAUCCGUCCUGAAGUAUUUGAAGAAUUUUUACUCUUCAUGUAUACUGACAAAACUCCAAAUCGCGAAAUAGUGACAGAGUUAUUCGUAGUUGCUGACAAAUAUCAAGUCGAAGGUCUCCGGGUACUCUGCCAAGAAAUUAUAUUGAAGGAAUUAUCGGUAGAGAACGCGUUCGAUUUGUUAUUUUUUGCUGAUCUUCAUGGGGCUGAACGAUUGCUAACGAAGGUUGCAUUUUUUAUCAAAACAAACCCUGCCAAUCUUACAUCAACCCAGUCGUGGAAAAAUGCCAUUUUGACACGUCCUCAUUUGUUUGAUCUUGUACAUGGAGUAUGUGAUGUGGAACGCCCUGUUGUGUCAUCAGAGCUUCAAGUGACAUCUCCUUCUAACAAAAAGAUGAAAUUGGUAGAUACCUAAAAACCUACCAAUCUACCUUACCUAGGUAUACUGGUACCUCUACCUAUGUAGAAUCAUUCUGUAAUAAGCUUGGUUACUUUUUGUAAUCUAGAUAAGUGUGUUCUUACUUUAUAACAUUUUGAAAUACAAUUUGCUCAACUCGUA